rnacentral:rRNA from 1 species
GCAUAUCAAUAAGCGGAGGAAAAGAAACCAACAGGGAUUGCCUCAGUAGCGGCGAGUGAAGCGGCAAAAGCUCAAAUUUGAAAUCUGGUAGUUCUGCUACCCGAGUUGUAAUUUGUAGAAAACUGUCUUUGUUAGGGUGCCUGUCUAAGUUCCUUGGAACAGGACGUCGCAGAGGGUGAGAAUCCCGUGUGAUGGGUGGCCCGAGCUUUUAAGGCGUUUUCGAAGAGUCGAGUUGUUUGGGAAUGCAGCUCUAAGUGGGUGGUAAAUUCCAUCUAAAGCUAAAUAUUGGCGAGAGACCGAUAGCGAACAAGUACAGUGAUGGAAAGAUGAAAAGAACUUUGAAAAGAGAGUGAAACAGUACGUGAAAUUGUUGAAAGGGAAGGGUAUUUGAUCCGACAUGGGAUUUACUCAUCAUUGCUCCUUGUGGGUGGUGCUCUGGGUUUUUUCUGGGCCAGAAUCAGUUUGUGUGGCAGGAUAAAGGCGUGAGGAAGUAGCUCUUCUGGAGCAAUAUAACUCAUGUUAAUACUGCCUAUGCGGACUGAGGAAUGCGGUUUUACCAAGGAU